UGACCUCAGAUCAGAUAAGAUCCCGAUUCC
rnacentral:rRNA from 1 species